rnacentral:rRNA from 1 species
GACGAAGGAUGCAAGCGUUAUCCGGAUUCAUUGGGUUUAAAGGGUGCGUAGGUGGGUCUGUAAGUCAGUGGUGAAAUCUCCGAGCUUAACUCGGAAACUGCCAUUGAUACUAUCUGUCUUGAAUACCGUGGAGGUGAGCGGAAUAUGUCAUGUAGCGGUGAAAUGCUUAGAUAUGACAUAGAACACCAAUUGCGAAGGCAGCUCACUACACGCAUAUUGACUCUGAGGCACGAAAGCGUGGGGAUCAAACAGG